CUGAACUGAACUGAAACUUUCAGAGAUGGUUAGAUAGUAUUACUGACUCAAUGAACGUGAAUUUGACCACCUCCAGGAGAUAGUGAAGAAGAGGGGAGCCUGGUGUGCCAUAAUCCAUGGGGUUGCAAAGAGUCAGAUGCAACUUAGAGACUCUGUUACAACAAAUUUUCAGUUUCAUAAUUCAUAAUUUAUGAUAAUUUGAGUUGGGUUUGUAGUUACAUUUGUGAGGAAAUAAGUGUGCCAAGAGAUUAGAUAACAAAAUCAUUUCCCUCUUUAAUAGCCCAGCAUCUCACAUCUAUGGUUUCAUGCCCUUUAGUAAGCACCGCUUGAAUUCCAUUGCUUAUUAUGAUAUGUCUUAGGUUUCUGUUAGAUAUCAUUUAACCUAGCUGGAGACACAAACAGAUUCACUGAGGAUAAAAAGCUCUUCUCAUCUCUUCUCAUCAGGGCCAGAGCUGAGAGUGAGUCCCUGCCUGGGAAAGGAAACUGAGAAGGGCCAGCUGUGGACUCUUGCUGAAACUCAGAGUGACAAAGUUUCUCACGAAGAAUGGCGUCUUUAGAGGGCAUCUUCCUGGUUAAUAGAGAUACUCUGUAUACAUAUUUUAAAGGUUCUACCUUUUAGAUUUUUUUCCCCCUGUCCCUCAAGGACAUGCUGCUAUAAUACCAACAAUAUAAACAAAGUCUUCUUGUCUUUGAGCUGAUUUUAUGGAGUCUGCCUCCCCAAUAAGAUUUUAGUCCUCAGAGAAGUUAUCAGCCCAGUGUUUCUGAUAGCUUAGAGGAGUUUUCUUCUUAGGAAAUAUUUUAUUGCAAAUAUUUAGGCCAGCACCAUAGAAGGUGCUGCUUUUAUUAAAAUAAUACAGUACAAAGUGUAAUAAAAUGAAAUGCUUUUAUUAAAAUCUGUGCAGCCCUUUAGUGUGUAAGAGUCCUUCAUGUCUUAAGGGAUAGAAGAGGCAAAGAUGGGGAAUAUGCGCAUAUUCUAUGUUCAGCACAGAGCCAAAGAAUUAAAAAAUCAGGUUUUUUUUUUUUUAAUUACCUGGUUUGUUUUUAUGGAUAAUAUAAAGCUGGUAUUAGAUCAUGUAAUAUAUAAUUAUUAUAGUAUAAUAAAGUUAUAAACUGCACUUAAAAUGGAAAAAAAUGGGUUAUCUUGUUGCAUUUAGACAAGAGCGAUGAGUUGAUCCAGUUCCAGAUGGAUUUCCAGCUGCUUUUCAGCAACAGCAAGUAAUUUAAUUCAUAAUUUUAUUUAAUUGACAGACUCCGCAAGUUAUAGGACUUUUUUUUGUGAAUGAUUUUGGUGAGAUCAAGAAUACUGCUGUCAAGAUCCUUUUGAUAGUUGAAGCCAAUAUCUCAAGUAAAUGUCAGAGUAAGUUAGCUAAUCACUCUUGUUUGAUCCCAGCUAUGCUACAAUUAGAUUAGAAAUAAUUGGAUUUUUUCUUAAGCAGGAUGUUAAGGGAUAUGUGUAAUUUCUGAUGGUUGAAAUAUCUGUAAAUGUUUUGUAGGCCUGGGAUAUUUUUGGAGGACAAAACUGGCCCAUCUACUGCAAAAAACCUGAAAAGCUUCCCUCCAUUUUUAGAGUUGGUGUGUAGGCCUCCUCUGCUUUAACCGUAAAUAAUGCAAUUACAUUCUUCAUACAGAGCUUCUACCCAAGGUCACCACCUAUGACCACCAAUAUUCCUGUCCAUGCACCUUUUAUAUUAACAUUCCUCAAGCAUGGUUUUUAUUACAGAAAUUUUUUUCUGCUCAAAAAUCCAGAGAAUUCUUCCCACAGGUCUUUGAAGUUUUCUGCUCUCUCCUGUUGCCUUUUUUUUUUUUUUUUUUACUGUUCCAUUUGCUCCUGCAGUCACUGCAAGCCUCCCUGUGCUGCAGAUUGUGAAGGCCUUUAGAACUGGUGCCCGUCUCCUUC
rnacentral:lncRNA from 1 species